GUCGAAUGCAUGCGGAACUACAGACUGAGAUCAUCAGUCUCCUCCUGUAAUAGAGUUAACGCUUGGCGUGUUAGGACGCAUAUUCGCUUUGUUUUUAAUGAGAGCUCUUGAGUGAACAGUAAUUACACUCGUGUGGGAUUAUAAAUAUAAUGUCAAGAUGAAGCAAGCUGUCUUACUGUUUCUCAUAACACUGUCUGCCUGUGUGCACACGGCGUUAGCGGAAGUGACUAUCAAAGCUCCAGCAACAGUGAAUCUACCGGAACAAUCUUCAGAAAACAUCACCAUUACACUGAGUUCACCAUUGAACACGUCUGUAACGGUUUAUUUCAAUAUCACGUAUAAAUCAAAAAAUGUCUCUUCAAUAAUUCUACUGCCUGAUGAG